rnacentral:rRNA from 1 species
UACGUAGGGUGCGAGCGUUGUCCGGAAUUAUUGGGCGUAAAGAGCUCGUAGGCGGUUUGUCGCGUCUGCUGUGAAAACCCGAGGCUCAACCUCGGGCCUGCAGUGGGUACGGGCAGACUAGAGUGCGGUAGGGGAGAUUGGAAUUCCUGGUGUAGCGGUGGAAUGCGCAGAUAUCAGGAGGAACACCGGUGGCGAAGGCGGGUCUCUGGGCCAUAACUGACGCUGAGGAGCGAAAGCGUGGGGAGCGAACAGG